GACGAACGCUGGCGGCGUGCUUAACACAUGCAAGUCGAACGGAAAGGCCCCUUUGGGGGUACUCGAGUGGCGAACGGGGGAGUAACACGUGAGUAACCUGCCCUUGACUUCGGGAUAACUUCAGGAAACUGGGGCUAAUACCGGAUAGGAAUCCUUGCUGCAUGGUGGGGGUUGGAAAGCUUCGGCGGUUUUGGAUGGACUCGCGGCUUAUCAGCUUGUUGGUGGGGUAGUGGCUUACCAAGGCUGUGACGGGUAGCCGGCCUGAGAGGGCGACCGGCCACAUUGGGACUGAGAGACGGCCCAGACUCCUACGGGUGGCAGCAGUGGGGAAUAUUGCACAAGGGGCGGCAGCCGGAUGCAGCAACGCCGCGUGCGGGAUGACGGUCUUCGGGUUGUAAACCGAUUUCAGCAGGGGCGAAGCUUGUGGUGACGGUACCUGCAGAAGAAGCACCGGCUAACUACGUG
rnacentral:rRNA from 1 species